ensembl:misc_RNA Gm23599 predicted gene, 23599
GAAAGUGAUCUGGCUGUGACAUCUGUUGAUCACCAGGAUUGAUUUGGCUGAUCUGAUUGGCUAGGCGGGUGUUCUUUCCCUGCCCUCUGCUCCACUCAAGCUCCUUCCAGAGCUCCAGGUUAGAUUGGUGGAAGAGGACCAUCAGUCUUAAGUCAAGGGUAUAGAGUAGCCACACUCCCCUGCUAGAACCUUCAAAUAAGCUCUCAAGAAGGCCUUCAAGUAUGUGGUGUUUGCCUUUAAUUCCAGUACU